AUUAGAAGAGACGCAUUUAUUAGAUAAAAAGCCAGUUCAUGCUUUUAUAGUAUGAAAAUUGGUGAUUUAUAAUAACUUAGCAAAUCGCAAAGUGAAAACAGGCGAUAAAUCAUUCAAGUUUCUGACCUAUCAGCUUUCGACGGUAUGGUAUUGGCUUACCGUGGCAGUGACGGUUAACGGGGGAUUAGGGUUCGAUUCCGGAGAGGGAGCCUGAGAAACGGCUACCACAUCUAAGGAAGGCAGCAGGCGCGCAAAUUACCCAAUUCUAACAGUUUGAGAGAGGUAGUAACAAGAAAUAACAAUACAAGGCAGUUAAAAUGCUUUGUAAUUGGAAUGAUAGAAAUUUAAACCCUUUUUAAAGUAUCAAUUGGAGGGCAAGUCUGGUGCCAGCAGCCGCGGUAAUUCCAGCUCCAAUAGCGUAUAUUAAAAUUGUUGCAGUUAAAAAGCUCGUAGUUGAAGUUCUGCUGAAAGUAACCGGUCUGCUUUUAAUAAAAGUGGUAUCUUGGUAUGUAUUUAGCAAUGAUGUCCUUUGAAGUGUUUUUUACUUUAUUGUAAUAAAGCAUAUUCAGGACUUUUACUUUGAGAAAAUUAGAGUGUUUCUAGCAGGCUAACGCUUUGAAUACUGCAGCAUGGAA
rnacentral:rRNA from 1 species